AUCUGUGCUUGCCCAGGAAUUUGCCUCGCCUCUCAGUAGUACAGAAGACACUUGAAUCAUACACAGCUUUGAAGUGCUUGUUGAGCUGAAACCCCCACUGAGAGAUCAGACAUUCCUCUGCUGAGGGUCUUCAGCCAUGCACAGCUUUCAGAGGGGGAUGUUCUGGCUCUGGCUGAAGUGAUGAUAGAGAAGAAGGUUAUUACUUGAAAACAAGGAGGGCUCUAACUCAGCAUUACUGCUAAACACAGUGACUUGUGAUCCUGCCAGUCGUGUGCCAAAUGGACUCCCGUUUUCCAAAGGACUUAACAGCUGAAAUGAAAUUGGGAAGGAAAUUUAGGCUCUAAAGCCUGUGAUGUUUUGCUUCUCCUACUGUACAGUGAAUGCCACUAGAAUUUGGGAUGCCUUUGUCCAGGUUUCUCAGCUCAUACUGAUGUCUUGUGGAAUGGAGGGCACCCACACUUCAUUCAGUCUUCAGGAAACUCCUGCAUCUACAGAUAAAGGUAUAUAUGUGUGCUGGGAUAUUAUACAACAGCUGUUUUUGAAGGGACAGAUCUACCCAAUACAUUUCUGUGGAAACCAAGGAUGCAUUGGUGUAUGUGGACUAUGGCCAGGAAAGAAACAGGAUCCAGAACUGGUGUUUAAAAAACAUCUAGAAAUAUGA
rnacentral:lncRNA from 1 species